rnacentral:rRNA from 1 species
CGAGUCGUGCGCCCUCGGGCAUGCGAGGGCGCGGCGCACGGCUCAGUAACACGUAGCUAACCUGCCCUGAGGAGGGGGAUAUCCCCGGGAAACUGGGGCUAAUCCCCCAUAGGUCUGGAUACCUGGAAUGGGUUCAGGCCCAAAUGGACCUACGCGCAUCCCGCGCAGAUCCGCCUCAGGAUGGGGCUGCGGCCCAUCAGGUAGUUGGCGGGGUAAAGGCCCACCAAGCCGAUAACGGGUACGGGCUCUGGAAGGAGGAGCCCGGAGAUGGGCACUGAGACAAGGGCCCAGGUCCUACGGGGCGCAGCAGGCGCGAAACCUUCACAAUGCGGGAAACCGCGAUGGGGUUACCCCGAGUGUCGCCCGCUGAGGGCGACUUUUCUGGGGUCUAAAAAGCCCCAGGAAUAAGGGGAGGGCAAGUCUGGUGUCAGCCGCCGCGGUAAUACCAGCUCCCCGAGUGGUCGGGACGUUUAUUGGGCCUAAAGCGCCCGUAGCCGGCCCGAUGUGUCUCCCGUCAAAUCCGCCGGCUCAACCGGCGGACCGCGGGGGAAACUAUCGGGCUAGGGGGCGGGAGAGGUCGGAGGUACUCCCGGGGUAGGGGUAAAAUCCUCUGAUCCCGGGAAGACCACCGGUGGCGAAGGCGUCCGGCCAGAACGCGCCCGACGGUGAGGGGCGAAAGC